ACAAUAGUUUUUCGUCUUUCAGCGGUUUGUUUUGGUAAUACAACAUGCUUAAAUGGGGGAACAUGUUUAUCGCCAGAUAACUGCGCUUGUUUGACAGGUUACACUGAGGGAAGCUGCGAGGAAGCCAUAUGCUUCGGGAAAACGUCUUGUGCAAACGGAGGGAGUUGUUUGGCUCCAGACGUGUGCUCCUGUGCGAAAGGAUACACCAGUAUAAACUGUGAAACAGAUGAUGAGUGUGCAGAGUGUGAUCACAUCUGUGACAGAUCGAAAAGCUCAGUGACAUGUUCAUGUAAAGAAAAUGAUAAACUUCAAGCUGACGGGAAAUCAUGUAAAGAAAUCUCAAGAGGGAACCAAAAGAUUCCACAUAUCAGUGUGAUUGUGAUUGCGUUCAUCCUUGGACUCGCGCUUGUG
rnacentral:lncRNA from 1 species